rnacentral:rRNA from 1 species
UACGUAGGGGGCUAGCGUUGUCCGGAAUCAUCGGGCGUAAAGCGCGUGUAGGCGGUCCGGUAAGUCCGCUGUGAAAGUCGAGGGCUCAACCCUCGAAUGCCGGUGGAUACUGUCGGGCUAGAGUACGGAAGAGGCGAGUGGAAUUCCUGGUGUAGCGGUGAAAUGCGCAGAUAUCAGGAGGAACACCAAUUGCGAAGGCAGCUCGCUGGGACGUUACUGACGCUGAGACGCGAAAGCGUGGGGAGCAAACAGG